rnacentral:rRNA from 1 species
UACAGAGGUCUCAAGCGUUGUUCGGAUUCAUUGGGCGUAAAGGGUGCGUAGGUGGCGCGCUAAGUCAGGUGUGAAAUUUCGGAGCUUAACUCCGAAACUGCAUUUGAUACUGGUGUGCUUGAGGACUGGAGAGGAGACUGGAAUUCAUGGUGUAGCAGUGAAAUGCGUAGAGAUCAUGAGGAAGACCAGUGGCGAAGGCGGGUCUCUGGACAGUUCCUGACGCUGAGGCACGAAGGCCAGGGGAGCAAACGGG